UCCGAAUUGGUGUAGUGGCUAACAUUUGACGCUCUCAGUAAAUCGCAAACAUCUGUCUGUGAUCCUGCAAAGUACCGUCAAGCCCGGGGUUCGAUUCCCCGAUUCGGAG